rnacentral:rRNA from 1 species
CCUACGGGGGACAGCAGUGAGGAAUAUUGGUCAAUGGCCGGAAGGCUGAACCAGCCAUGCCGCGUGAAGGUCAGUGCCCUAUGGGCGUUAAACUUCUUUUGUGCGGGAGCAAUAAUGGUCACGUGUGGCCAGACGAGAGUACCGUACGAAUAAGCAUCGGCUAACUCCGUGCCAGCAGCCGCGGUAAUACGGGGGAUGCAAGCGUUAUCCGGAUUUAUUGGGUUUAAAGGGUGCGUAGGCUGUGAGGUAAGUCAGCGGUGAAAUGCCCCCGCUCAACGGGGUGAAGUGCCAUUGAUACUGGCUGGCUGGAGUGCGGAUGCCGUGGGAGGAAUGUGUGGUGUAGCGGUGAAAUGCAUAGAUAUCACACAGAACACCGAUUGCGAAGGCAUCUCACGAAUCCGCGAUUGACGCGGAUGCACGAAAGCGUGGGUAUCAAACAGGAUUAGAUACCCUAGUAGUA